UGAGGAAUAUUGGUCAAUGGCCGGGAGGCUGAACCAGCCAAGCCGCGUGAAGGAAGACGGCCCUACGGGUUGCAAACUUCUUUUGUCGGGGAACAAAAGGGAGGACGUGUCCUCCUCUGCGGGUACCCGAAGAAAAAGGCAUCGGCUAACUCCGUGCCAGCAGCCGCGGUAAUACGGAGGAUGCGAGCGUUAUCCGGAUUUAUUGGGUUUAAAGGGUGCGUAGGCGGUCUGUUAAGUCAGCGGUAAAAGACCGGGGCUCAACCCCGGCAAGCCGUUGAAACUGGCGGACUAGAGACGGAGAGAAGUAAGCGGAAUGCGCAGUGUAGCGGUGAAAUGCAUAGAUAUUGCGCAGAACUCCGAUUGCGAAGGCAGCUUACCGGCUCCGGACUGACGCUGAGGCACGAAAGCGUGGGGAUCAAGCAGGAUUAGAUACCC
rnacentral:rRNA from 1 species